AUUCCAGGCGUGGCUUUAAUGACUCUUUGACUGUCGUGGAGUGAACAUCUCUCUGAGUAAACAAAUAUGGAAGCAUUCGAAAUACAAGAUUAAUUGUCAGGCUGCAAAACUUCGUGAAAAUAGCAUGCUAUUGCUGUAUUGUUGCGAUCGUCAUUAUGACUUGUGUUUUACUAUACCAAGUUUACCUUAUAUUAAAUUGCAUGGGACGUGCUGUCAUUUUAGCUUUAUAAAUAAUCCGUCUGUCAAAGCGAAGGAAUUGUGUUUAUAUUCCCAAUUGCGAGGCCCUUCUUUCUAAGUUGGAUGGCGUUAAAUCUCUGUGUAUCAUCAACGUGAAAACUGCAAGAGCAGUAUUUAAGGUUAGUAUAUUACAAUGCAUUUAAUACAGUUGACUUGUUAUUUGGUCAAAUUUCCGCUUUGCUGUUUUCAAUAUAAUUGUACUGUAAUUUUAUAAAUACACUGUACAAAUUAUGGCGUAAUAUUUCUAAUAAUUUAACCUUUAGUUUGCCCCUUCUCCUGAUGAGUUUGCUAACGAAAACACCCAGCAUAUGCUUUUCGAUUUCGAUGUGGAUCAUAUAUUGACAGCGAAUAGUAUUGAUGAUGAACAUUCAG